UACGUAGGUGACAAGCGUUGUCCGGAUUUACUGGGCGUAAAGAGCGCGCAGGCGGUCGAUCAAGUCGAGUGUGAAAGCCCCCGGCUCAACUGGGGAGGGUCAUUCGAUACUGAUCGACUCGAAGGCAGGAGAGGGUAGUGGAAUUCCCGGUGUAGUGGUGAAGUGCGUAGAUAUCGGGAGGAACACCAGUGGCGAAGGCGACUACCUGGCCUGUUCUUGAUGCUGAGGCGCGAAAGCUAGGGGAGCAAACGGG
rnacentral:rRNA from 1 species